CGUAGCCGGUUUGUUAAAUUUUCUGUGAAAUUGGUGGGCCUAACCCAUCAGCGUGCAGGAAAGACUGGCAAACUUGGAACCGGGAGAAGUUAGAGGUAUUUCUGGGGAAGCGGUAAAAUGCUAUAAUCCCAGGAGGACCACCAAUGGCGAAGGCAUCUAACUAGAACGGAUUCGACGGUGAGGGACGAAAGCCAGGGGAGCGAUCCGGAUUAGAUACCCGAGUAGUCCUGGCCCUAAACGCUGCGAGCUAGGUGUUGCAUAAUCUACAUGAUUAUGCAGUGUCGGAGCGAAGGUGUUAAGCUCGCCGCCUGGGAAGUAUGGCCGCAAGGCUGAAACUUAAAGGAAUUGGCGGGGGAGCACUACCAGGGGUGCGGCGUGCGGUUUAAUCUAAUUCAACGCAGAAAAUCUCACCAGCAGCGACGGCAGAAUGAAGGUCAAGUUGAUGGCUUUACCUGACGAGCCGAGAGGUGGUGCAUGGCCGUCGUCAGCUCGUGCUGUAAGGUGUCCUGUUAAGUCAGGCAACGAGCGAGACCUACAUCCAUAAUUGCUAGCGGCAGAAUUUCUGGACCGAGCACAUUAUGGAAACUGCCUUGGAAACGAGGAGGAAGGUGUAGGCUACGAUAGGUCUGUAUGCCCCGAGUCUGCUGGGCUACACGCGCGCAACAAUGGUAGGGACAAUGGGAUGCAACUCCGAAAGGAGAAGCUAUACCUCGAAACCCUAUCUUAGUCUAGAUUGAGGGUUGUAAC
rnacentral:rRNA from 1 species